GAAUCCUUUCCCCCAGGGUUUGAGAAGAAGAAUGUGACGGUGGAUUUGCCACCAGUUUCGUCAUCAAAAGAUUUCACCGUGGAGCUUUCUACUGAAGUUUUGCAAGUGGAGGAAGAAUCUUUUGGCUGUGAUCCUGAUUACCCCCCAGGGUUCGAGGAGAAGAAUAUGACAGCAGAUAUUCCUUCAGUUUCGUCAUCAAAAGAUUGCACCGCGGAGCUCUCUACUGAAGUUUUGCAAGUGGAG
rnacentral:misc_RNA from 1 species